AGAGUUUGAUCAUGGCUCAGAUCGAAUGCUGGCGGCGUGGAUGAGGCAUGCAAGUCGCACGAGAUUGUAGUUUACUGCAAUCUAGUGGCGGAAGGGUUAGUAAUACAUGGGUAACCCACCUUUAACUCUGGGAUAACGGUUGGAAACGACCGCUAAUACCGGAUGUGGUGGUAUAAGGCAUCUUACACUUAUCAAAGCGGAGGAUCUUGAAAGAGACUUCUUGGUUAAAGAGGAGCCCAUGAGAUAUCAGCUUGUUGGUGUGGUAAAGGCGCACCAAGGCUAAGACGUCUAGGCGGGUUGAGAGGUCGAUCGCCAACACUGGGACUGAGACACUGCCCAGACUCCUACGGGAGGCUGCAGUCGAGAAUCAUUCGCAAUGGGCGGAAGCCUGACGAUGCGACGCCGCGUGAACGAAGAAGGCUUUCGGGUCGUAAAGUUCUUCCGCUAGGGAACAAGAGAUAUAGGUUAAUACCCUAUUGAUUUGAGGGUACCUAGUAAAGAAGCACCGGCUAACUCCGUGCCAGCAGCUGCGGUAAUACGGAGGGUGCAAGCAUUGAUCGGAUUUACUGGGCGUAAAGGGCGCGUAGGUGGCAAUGAAAGUUAGAUGUGAAAUUCCGGGACUCACUCCCGGAGCUGCAUUUGAAACUUCAUAGCUUGAGGAUAGGCGGAGAAAGCGGAAUUCCACGUGUAGCGGUGAAAUGCGUAGAUAUGUGGAAGAACACCGGUGGCGAANGCGGCUUUCUAGCUUAUCCCUGACACUGAGGCGCGAAAGCGUGGGGAGCGAACAGGANUAGAUACCCUGGUAGUCCACGCCGUAAACGAUGCAUACUAGAUGUAGCUGGGCUCAACCCUA
rnacentral:rRNA from 1 species